rnacentral:rRNA from 1 species
GAAGCCGCGAAUAGCUCAUUACAAUAGCCGUUGUUUCUUGGAUCCUCAAUUUACUUGGAUACCUGUGGUAAUUCUAGAGCUAAUACAUGCGACUAAGGGCCGAACUCACGUGACGCUUGCAUUUAUUAGAUCAAGACUAACCGGCUUCGGCCGUUAACUUGGUGACUCUGAAUAACUCAGCUGAUCGCACGGUCUAGUGCCGGCGACAUAUCUUUCAAGUGUCUACCUUAUCAACUGUCGAUGGUAGUUUAUGUGACUACCAUGGUUGUAACGGGUAACGGAGAAUCAGGGUUUGACUCCGGAGAGGGAGCCUGAGAAACGGCUACCACUUCUAAGGAAGGCAGCAGGCGCGCAAAUUACACAAUCUCAGCACGAGGAUGUAGUGACGAAACAUACCGAGGCGAUGCCCUUUCGGGUGUCGUCAUUGGAAUGAGUCGAAUCUAAAAAAUUCGGCAAGGAUCUAGUGGAGGGCAAGUCUGGUGCCAGCAGCCGCGGUAAUUCCAGCUCCGCAAGUGUAUAUCUAUGCUGUUGCGGUUAAAAAGCUCGUAGUUUGAUUCGCGUACUUAGCACGCAGUGUGGCCUUUCGGCUACUACUGUGAUGCGGUACAUUAUCGUCAGUUUGUCGUUGAUGCUCUUCAUUGGGUGUCAGCGGCGGCUGUCAAGUUUACUUUGAACAAAUUAAAGUGCUCAAUACAGGCGUUUCGCUUGUAUAGUUCUGCAUGGAAUAAUAGAAUAGGACUUACGUUCUAUUGUGUUGGUUUUCAGAACGAAAGUAAUGAUUAAGAGGGACAGACGGGGUCAUUCGUACUGCCACGUUAGAGGUGAAAUUCUUGGAUCGUGGCAAGACGAACUACUGCGAAAGCAUUUGACAAGAAUGUUUUCAUUAAUCAAGAACGAAAGUAUGGU